rnacentral:snoRNA from 1 species
CUGCAUCUACUGACAGACCUUAAGUAGUCUGCUGUUCUCUUGGUUUGCACCAAGGAUGAGAAAGAAAAAUCCUUGUACUUUC